GACGAACGCUGGCGGCGUGCCUAAUACAUGCAAGUCGAGCGGACGAAUCGAAAGCUUGCUUUUGCUUCGUUAGCGGCGGACGGGUGAGUAACACGUGGGCAACCUCCCUUGAAGAGGGGGAAACCCCGGAGAAUUGGGUGCAAUACCGGAUAAACACGAAUUUUCGCUUAAGGUUUCGUUAAAAGAGGGGCAAAGCGGUGCUACAGGGUGGGCCCGGGGGCGCAUUAGUAAGUUGGGGAGGUAACGGCUCACCAAGGCGACGAUGCGUAGCCGACCUGAGAGGGUGAUCGGCCACACUGGGACUGAGACACGGCCCAGACUCCUACGGGAGGCAGCAGUAGGGAAUCUUCCGCAAUGGACGAAAGUCUGACGGAGCAACGCCGCGUGAGCGAAGAAGGCCUUCGGGUCGUAAAGCUCUGUUGUUAGGGAAGAACAAGUAACGCAGUAACUGGCGUUACCGUGACGGUACCUAACGAGAAAGCCACGGCUAACUACGUG
rnacentral:rRNA from 1 species